rnacentral:rRNA from 1 species
UUAAGCGACUAAGCGUACACGGUGGAUGCCCUGGCAGUCAGAGGCGAUGAAGGACGUGCUAAUCUGCGAAAAGCGUCGGUAAGGUGAUAUGAACCGUUAUAACCGGCGAUGUCCGAAUGGGGAAACCCAGUGCAAUUCGUUGCACUAUCGUUAACUGAAUACAUAGGUUAACGAGGCGAACCGGGGGAACUGAAACAUCUAAGUACCCCGAGGAAAAGAAAUCAACCGAGAUUCCCCCAGUAGCGGCGAGCGAACGGGGAGCAGCCCAGAGUCUGAAUCAGCUUGUGUGUUAGUGGAACGGUCUGGAAAGUCCGACGGUACAGGGUGAUAGUCCCGUACACCAAAAUGCACAGGCUGUGAACUCGAAGAGUAGGGCGGGACACGUGGUAUCCUGUCUGAAUAUGGGGGGACCAUCCUCCAAGGCUAAAUACUCCUGACUGACCGAUAGUGAACCAGUACCGUGAGGGAAAGGCGAAAAGAACCCCGGCGAGGGGAGUGAAAAAGAACCUGAAACCGUGUACGUACAAGCAGUGGGAGCACCUUCGGGUGUGACUGCGUACCUUUUGUAUAAUGGGUCAGCGACUUAUAUUCUGUAGCAAGGUUAACCGUAUAGGGGAGCCGCAGGGAAACCGAGUCUUAACUGGGCGUUAAGUUGCAGGGUAUAGACCCGAAACCCGGUGAUCUAGCCAUGGGCAGGUUGAAGGUUGGGUAACACUAACUGGAGGACCGAACCGACUAAUGUUGAAAAAUUAGCGGAUGACUUGUGGCUGGGGGUGAAAGGCCAAUCAAACCGGGAGAUAGCUGGUUCUCCCCGAAAGCUAUUUAGGUAGCGCCUCGUGAACUCAUCUUCGGGGUAGAGCACUGUUUCGGCUAGGGGGUCAUCCCGACUUACCAACCCGAUGCAAACUACGAAUACCGAAGAAUGUUAUCACGGGAGACACACGGCGGGUGCUAACGUCCGUCGUGAAGAGGGAAACAACCCAGACCGCCAGCUAAGGUCCCAAAGUCAUGGUUAAGUGGGAAACGAUGUGGGAAGGCACAGACAGCCAGGAUGUUGGCUUAGAAGCAGCCAUCAUUUAAAGAAAGCGUAAUAGCUCACUGGUCGAGUCGGCCUGCGCGGAAGAUGUAACGGGGCUAAACCAUGCACCGAAGCUGCGGCAGCGACACUAUGUGUUGUUGGGUAGGGGAGCGUUCUGUAAGCCUGCGAAGGUGUGCUGUGAGGCAUGCUGGAGGUAUCAGAAGUGCGAAUGCUGACAUAAGUAACGAUAAAGCGGGUGAAAAGCCCGCUCGCCGGAAGACCAAGGGUUCCUGUCCAACGUUAAUCGGGGCAGGGUGAGUCGACCCCUAAGGCGAGGCCGAAAGGCGUAGUCGAUGGGAAACAGGUUAAUAUUCCUGUACUUGGUGUUACUGCGAAGGGGGGACGGAGAAGGCUAUGUUAGCCGGGCGACGGUUGUCCCGGUUUAAGCAUGUAGGCUGGUUGUCCAGGCAAAUCCGGAUAAUCAAGGCUGAGGUGUGAUGACGAGGCACUACGGUGCUGAAGUAACAAAUGCCCUGCUUCCAGGAAAAGCCUCUAAGCAUCAGGUAACAUCAAAUCGUACCCCAAACCGACACAGGUGGUCAGGUAGAGAAUACCAAGGCGCUUGAGAGAACUCGGGUGAAGGAACUAGGCAAAAUGGUGCCGUAACUUCGGGAGAAGGCACGCUGGUGUGUAGGUGAAGCCCCUGCGGGUGGAGCUGAGACCAGUCGAAGAUACCAGCUGGCUGCAACUGUUUAUUAAAAACACAGCACUGUGCAAACACGAAAGUGGACGUAUACGGUGUGACGCCUGCCCGGUGCCGGAAGGUUAAUUGAUGGGGUUAUCCGUAAGGAGAAGCUCUUGAUCGAAGCCCCGGUAAACGGCGGCCGUAACUAUAACGGUCCUAAGGUAGCGAAAUUCCUUGUCGGGUAAGUUCCGACCUGCACGAAUGGCGUAAUGAUGGCCAGGCUGUCUCCACCCGAGACUCAGUGAAAUUGAACUCGCUGUGAAGAUGCAGUGUACCCGCGGCAAGACGGAAAGACCCCGUGAACCUUUACUAUAGCUUGACACUGAACAUUGAGCCUUGAUGUGUAGGAUAGGUGGGAGGCUUUGAAGCGUGGACGCCAGUCUGCGUGGAGCCAACCUUGAAAUACCACCCUUUAAUGUUUGAUGUUCUAACGUUGGCCCCUUACCGGGGUUGCGGACAGUGUCUGGUGGGUAGUUUGACUGGGGCGGUCUCCUCCCAAAGCGUAACGGAGGAGCACGAAGGUUAGCUAAUCCUGGUCGGACAUCAGGAGGUUAGUGCAAUGGCAUAAGCUAGCUUGACUGCGAGCGUGACGGCGCGAGCAGGUGCGAAAGCAGGUCAUAGUGAUCCGGUGGUUCUGAAUGGAAGGGCCAUCGCUCAACGGAUAAAAGGUACUCCGGGGAUAACAGGCUGAUACCGCCCAAGAGUUCAUAUCGACGGCGGUGUUUGGCACCUCGAUGUCGGCUCAUCACAUCCUGGGGCUGAAGUAGGUCCCAAGGGUAUGGCUGUUCGCCAUUUAAAGUGGUACGCGAGCUGGGUUUAGAACGUCGUGAGACAGUUCGGUCCCUAUCUGCCGUGGGCGCUGGAGAAUUGAGGGGGGCUGCUCCUAGUACGAGAGGACCGGAGUGGACGCAUCACUGGUGUUCGGGUUGUCAUGCCAAUGGCACUGCCCGGUAGCUAAAUGCGGAAGAGAUAAGUGCUGAAAGCAUCUAAGCACGAAACUUGCCCCGAGAUGAGUUCUCCCUGAGACUUUAAGUCUCCUGAAGGAACGUUGAAGACGACGACGUUGAUAGGCCGGGUGUGUAAGCGCAGCGAUGCGUUGAGCUAACCGGUACUAAUGAACCGUGAGGCUUAACCUU